GCCCGCGCGGCCCUUCGAAUAAUAGCGACCGUGACUCGGGACCGGACCCCGGCUAGAACUGGAGCCUCGGAAACGAUGCAGGAGAUGAAGACGGACGCGAUUCCCCGGCCACGGCACGGGUGAACAGCACAAAGGUUUGUCCUGAUCCCGUCAAUGAUCUGUCCCAGCUCCAGGACUGCAGUGUCUUCAUCAGAGUUAUCCACAAAAUCCUCGGGAGCAAGGAGGGGGAGUCUGUGCUGGAGCAGCCACUGCCAGAGAAGAUCUCCUUCAUCCAUGGAUUCCUGCAGAAGAACGUGGUCUCUGUACAGAAACUCAUGGACAGCAGAGAGGCCAGGAUGGAGUGACUGAAUAUGAUACUGAAGAAGGCAACCACUGGACUGUUAGGGACAGAGGGGGAGACAAUGAUUGUUUUGUUUCUGAGGAAGAACCAGAUUCAUCAAUCUCAAGCCCAGCAGACUCAAACUGGGAAAGAGACUUAUCUUCCUUUAUUCAGAACACCUGCCUCCGCCCAAGUCAGGAGAUCUCCGAAAAAGACUCAACAAUACUCCAUAACAGACUGGGCAGCAGUGAGACACAAACCAAUAAAAGAAAAAGAUUUUGAUCCAGCUAAAGAACUGCUCUUAGCCAUGCCAGUUGGAGAAGAUGCUAAUCCAAGACAGGAACCAUUGAAUUAUGAUGAUAUUAAAGAUUUGACAAGUGGUAAGGGAAAAUGGAUUAGGAUCACCGUAUUUCAAGCAAUUGCUGAAAGGAAUAUAUUGUAAUGCAGAUUUAACACCAUAUGACUGUUGCUAUAUCUCCUCCUUAAUAUUGACAGAAUCACAAUACAUCUUAUGGGACCUGAAGUGGAGGAAAUUCUUGAAUAGAUUACUUGAAACUUAUGCUGGGACCCCCUAUGCUGCAUUGACACUGGCAGAUUGAGCAGGAGACCCUCCACGUGACAGGUCUGAAGAUCAGGCAGUGUACCUGCCUGGAGUAGUACUUAAUGAUACCAAAAACACUGCCUGCAAAGCCCUGCUGCUGACUCAGCCAGUGGGGACUACAGGAGGGACUUAUAAUAAGACAGGGGCCAAUAGAGCCCUAUUCAGCAUUUAUUGACUGCCUGACACAAGCUCUAGAGAGACAGUGUGAAGAUGAUGUGGCUCGUCCACUUCUGCUUCACAUCUUUGCUUAUGCAAACGCCAAUGAAGGAUGCAAAAAGGUUGUCUUAAGCUUUCCUGAUCCCAAACCUGCCUUGCCCCAAAUGAUAGAGGCUUGCAGCAAAAUUGGAAGCCCUCAGCACAUAGCGACCAUUCAAGCAGAUACUCUGGGAGAAAGACUUGGAAAAGCUUUUACAAAUCAAGCAGAAGUGAGGGCUGAGAAACUUGCAAAAGCCCUCCGUGCUCUCAGCUUGACACUUCAGCAGAACAAUAAGGCAUCGCAAAAUGAGACUUGCAAAAGAUUAUGCCAUCGAUGUGGAAAGCCUGACAGAAAGAAUUUUCCAGAGCCAGCAGGGGGCACAAACCCACCUCACAGUAGUGGCAUUCCAGCAGCUAGGGAGCUUUCAAGGGGCCAGAUGUGUGAAUUGCUCAGGCCAAAUCCUAUUCACCAGAGUGCCAGCCACCUGCCAAGUGACCCCAAACUGCUGCCCCCAGGGGCACAAUGUGAACUGGCAAUUUCCAAAUUAGUCUACUUUCUACAUGAUUGUCAUGCUGUGGUACCCACAGGUGUGACAGGAACAUCACAAAAGAGACAAGAUUUUCUGAUUAUAGGUGAAGAAAGAAACUACAUUUUGGGACUAGUAGUUUUUCCAUCUAUUGUUUCAGCAAAUUACAAUGAAGAGUUAACAGUUCUAGUACAAGCAUGGCGCCCUCCACUUGUCAUUCCAGCAAAAACUCCAGUAGCCACAGCUAUUGCUUUGCCAGCCAGAAUAAUAGAAUAACUCACAAAAUGCCAACAGAUAGCACCUGAGAGCUCAAGUGUAGCACCAAGCAUCUUUGGGUACAACAUAUAAGUUGCAAUUGACCUGCAGUUUAAUACACAACAAAAAACCAAUCAAUCAUAAUUACAGGUCUUCUGGACAUCAGUGCAGAUGUUACAGUGAUUUAUAUGUUCUGGACAAAGAACUGGACUUUAGUGACACCUUUAGACCCUCUCACAGGUAUCAGGGGAGCCACUGUAUGUCUACAAAGUAGAUGCAUGAUUGCAAUUAAAGGACCUGAAGGGAAGAGAGCAGCUAUUUGUCCCUUCAUUGUGGAGAAACCAUCACAAUAUGGGGAAGAGAUCUGUUGUCCCAAUGGGGAGCAACACUGGAAGUGGAUUUUUGAUCUGUUGGAAUUCUGUGAGUUAUUCUAAGGGAAGAUUGACUUGGAUAACUACCCUGAUACCUGCCCCAGAGCCUGACAGUGCCAGAGACUAGGGAGGCUGCCCUAGAGCCUGACACUGCUCUGCAGCCCACCUCAGAAAUGAGCUACCCAGACUGGGGGGCACAUUCCUACAGGUGGAAGUUCUAGCCAAGGGUGCCACCUAUAAGUGGGCACGAGACCGAGGGGUGGAUCUAACCAUGGACAGUAUUUCCCAGGUUAUCCAUGACUGUGGGAAGCCCCUAUGGUAUGGUGGGCAGUGGUCCAAAUGUAAGUAUGGGGAGGCCUGGCAGAUUCAGAGAAUGACUAGGUUGGAAGAGACCUUAAAGGUCAUUGAGUCCAACCCAUGCCCUAGCAUCUCAGCUAAACCAUGGCGCGAAGUGCCACAUCC